rnacentral:rRNA from 1 species
CGGAAUUACUGGGCGUAAAGCGCGCGUAGGCGGUUAGUUAAGUCGGAUGUGAAAGCCCAGGGCUCAACCUUGGAACUGCAUCCGAUACUGGCUAGCUAGAGUGCAGUAGAGGGAGGUGGAAUUUCCGGUGUAGCGGUGAAAUGCGUAGAGAUCGGAAGGAACACCAGUGGCGAAGGCGGCCUCCUGGACUGACACUGACGCUGAGGUGCGAAAGCGUGGGGAGCAAACAGGAUUAGAUACCCUCGUAGUGGUCAGUACUUCUGAAU